rfam:Nicotiana attenuata strain TT chromosome 2, whole genome shotgun sequence.
UGUAUUCAUUGUCUUUUUUUUCAUUGUAAUUCACGGCGUGAAACAGGGGAUUACACUGUUUUUAACCGAAAGUGAAUCAAUUAACAUAAUAGACUCCU